AAUCAGGAAAAAAUUAAAGAGGGUUGAAAACCCAAUGCAUGCAGAUUAAUUAAAACAGACUGAACUGGCAACCAAGAGAGAGAGUUUAUAUUGAUUUUUAAUCUGAAACAGAUUAGAUUAUUUUUUUAAAUGGAUGCUUUUAUUUCUGUAUAUAUAGUAUUGAACAUGAACAUUAUUUGAGCAGAAAACAGAAUCUCAUCAGAAGAAUUAAAGUGCAUCAGAAGAAUGGCUCUGACUGAAGCUGAGUUUGAGAGCGGCAGCAUCAUGAAGGAAUGGGGCGGACAGGUUCAGCCGGCUUUGAUAGCAUCCUUCAUCAUCCUCUUCUUCCUGGAGGCCUGUCUUUGGGUCAGAAAUCUCACAAUCAAGAAAAGGCUUCCAGGCCCUUUCGCCUGGCCCUUGGUGGGCAAUGCCAUGCAGCUGGGACAAAUGCCACACAUCACCUUCUCCAAGCUGGCAAAGAAGUACGGAAACGUCUACCAGAUCAGACUCGGGCGAAGCGACAUUGUGGUUCUGAAUGGAGAUGUGGCUAUACGCAAGGCGCUCAUUGAACACAGCACUGAAUUUGCCGGGAGGCCAAACUUUCUGUCUUUUCAGAUGAUCUCCGGCGGUCGGAGCAUGGUGUUCAGCAGUUACAGCAAACAGUGGAAGGUGCAUCGGAAAGUAGCUCAAUCGACUUUGAGAGCAUUCUCGAUGGCAAACACUCAAACCAAACAGACAUUCGAACAACACGUUGUAGGCGAAGCCAUGGAUCUGGUCCAGAAGUUUCUAAGGCUCAGCGCCGACAGACGAGACUUCAAUCCUUCACACGAAUUCACCGUCGCCGCCGCAAACGUCAUCUGCGCGCUUUGCUUUGGUAAACGCUACGGCCUUGACGAUCCCGAGUUCAGGACUCUCCUGAAAAGAGUGGAAAAGUUUGGGGAAACUGUUGGUGCUGGAAGCCUGGUGGAUGUCAUGCCUUGGUUGCAGUCGUUUCCGAAUCCGGUCCGAAGCGUUUAUCAAAACUUCAAGCUCAUUAAUGAAGAGUUCUUCGCUUAUGUGAAGGACAAAGUGGUGCAGCAUAGAGACACGUACGACCCUGAGGUCACCCGAGACAUGAGCGAUGCAAUCAUUGGCGUAAUUGAGCACGGGAAAGAGAGCAUGCUGACUAAAGACUUUGUUGAGUCUACGGUCACUGAUUUAAUCGGUGCAGGACAAGACACAGUGUCCACAGUCAUGCAAUGGAUACUUCUGCUUUUAGCCAAAUACCCAUCAAUCCAAACCAAACUCCAAGAGCAGAUUGAUAAAGUAGUAGGUCGUGGCAGACUCCCAUCAAUAGACGACAAGAGCAACCUGGCCUACCUGGACGCCUUCAUCUACGAAACCAUGCGCUACACCAGCUUCGUCCCCGUCACCAUACCGCACUCCACCACCUCAGACGUCACCAUCGAAGGUCUCCACAUCCCCAAAGACACCGUAGUGUUCAUCAACCAAUGGUCCGUCAACCACGACCCUCAAAAGUGGCAGGAUCCUCACAUCUUCAACCCGUCGAGAUUCCUGGACGAGACCGGAGCUCUGGAUAAAGACCUGACCAACAGCGUGAUGAUCUUCUCCACAGGUAAGAGAAGAUGCAUCGGCGAUCAGAUCGCCAAAGUGGAGGUUUUUCUGUUCUCUGCCAUCCUUUUGCACCAGUGCUCGUUUUGAGAGCAACCCCUCUCAGGAUCUCUCCAUGGACUGCUCGUAUGGUUUAACACUGAAGCCGCUCCAUUACACAAUCUCAGCCAAGCUUAGAGGAAAACUGUUUGGCUUGGUAUCGCCGGCAUGAGUUAUUUUUGUGACUUAAGCCCAGCAAAGACUGCACAUAUUACAAAUAUAUUCCACAUAACAAUGAGUUUAGUAAAGCUGCACUGAAUGCUGUUUAGUAAUUCUAUAUUUAAUAUUUAUACACAUUUGCAAUGAUUCAAUGAACUGAUUUAAUCACAUCCAUAGAAAAUGUUGUCAGGUAAUGUUUUAAUUGAUUUAUGUUUAUAAAACAUUGUUUAUGCUUCAAAAUAAUGAUAUAAGGACUGCAAUAUGAAAUGUUUAUGGUCCAAUGCUAAGCAACUAUCACUGUAGACAUAUCAAUUAUUAUGUAAUAUUAUGCAAUUGUUUGAUCGUGUUGAGUCUUGUUAAUGGGCAGCAGCUGUUGGAGAACUUUUACUUCCUAUGAGCUCGACUCAGAUUUGGCAUAGCAAUGCAUUUAAUUACACUUGCAUAAAACAGUAUUACGAUGUGAUUAUAGGCAUUUAAACAUUUAUUAAACAACUGUGUUUAUAAAUUCUGUUCUUAAUAAAAUGCAUAGACAUUUAUUCACUGAAUUCUUAAAGAAAGGCUACAAGGGUCACUUGUUUAGUGACAAUGGCAAUUUGCAAUCAAUGCUUUGCUGACUCUGUUCUGUUGCUCAGCAAAUCAUUCAAUAGAAGCCUUAAGCCUCACGUUGGAUGAACUUUCAGCUUCCUCAUUAUGUCAUUUUGAAGGUUCUCCCACAUGCACAAAUCCUCAAAAUAAUGUAUAAAACUAGCAGUAUAAAUCAGAGCUACUAUCUCAAGAUAUACUCCUAUAUCAUAUUGCAUAUAUUAUGGUAAAUGAUUACACUGAAUAUUUUGCAAGCUCAGUUUUUUCUUUUUUCUUUUGAUGUUUAGGUAUUAUUUUAAAUGUGUUUUUACUAUUGGAAAAUAAGCUACAAGUGGAAUAAAUAAAGUGCUGUUUUACAGAUGCA